rnacentral:rRNA from 1 species
CUACGGGGUGCUCCAGUAAGGAAUAUUGCGCAAUGGAGGCAACUCUGACGCAGCCAUGCCGCGUGCAGGAAGAAGGCCUUAUGGGUCGUAAACUGCUUUUAUUUAGGAAUAAACCCCCGAACGUGUUCGGGGCUGAAGGUACUAAACGAAUAAGCACCGGCUAACCCGUGCCAGCAGCCGCGGUAAUACGGAGGGUGCAAGCGUUAUCCGGAUUUAUUGGGUUUAAAGGGUGCGCAGGCGGGCUAUUAAGUCAGUGGUGAAAUCCCGGGGCUCAACUCCGGAACUGCCAUUGAUACUGAUAGUCUUGAGUUUGGUUGAAGUGGGCGGAAUGUAGCAUGUAGCGGUGACAUGCAUAGAUAUGCUACAGAACACCAAUCGCGAAGGCAGCUCACUAAGCCAAAACUGACGCUCAUGCACGAAAGCGUGGGGAUCAAACAGGAUUAGAUACCCGUGUAGUC